rnacentral:rRNA from 1 species
AUUAAACGCUGGCGGCAGGCCUAACACAUGCAAGUCGAGCGGAUGACGGGAGCUUGCUCCUUGAUUCAGCGGCGGACGGGUGAGUAAUGCCUAGGAAUCUGCCUGGUAGUGGGGGACAACGUUUCGAAAGGAACGCUAAUACCGCAUACGUCCUACGAGAGAAAGCAGGGGACCUUCGGGCCUUGCGCUAUCAGAUGAGCCUAGGUCGGAUUAGCUAGUAGGUGAGGUAAUGGCUCACCUAGGCGACGAUCCGUAACUGGUCUGAGAGGAUGAUCAGUCACACUGGAACUGAGACACGGUCCAGACUCCUACGGGAGGCAGCAGUGGGGAAUAUUGGACAAUGGGCGAAAGCCUGAUCCAGCCAUGCCGCGUGUGUGAAGAAGGUCUUCGGAUUGUAAAGCACUUUAAGUUGGGAGGAAGGGUUGUACGUUAAUACCGUGCAAUUUUGACGUUACCGACAGAAUAAGCACCGGCUAACUCUGUGCCAGCAGCCGCCGUAA